rnacentral:rRNA from 1 species
UACAGAGGUCCCAAGCGUUGUUCGGAUUCACUGGGCGUAAAGGGUGCGUAGGUGGUGGGGUAAGUCGGAUGUGAAAGCUCGGAGCUCAACUCCGAAAUGGCAUUGGAAACUACCCUGCUAGAGGAUUGGAGGGGGGACUGGAAUACUUGGUGUAGCAGUGAAAUGCGUAGAUAUCAAGUGGAACACCAGUUGCGAAGGCGGCUCUCUGGACCAGCACUGACACUGAGGCACGAAAGCGUGGGGAGCAAACAGG